AUGUUGCAUUUAUAUUUUUGUUCAGUGUUUAUGAAAGCAAGACCAUCAUGAUUCAUUGACCGGGCGUUUUUUUAUUGUAGAAAUGUGGAGCCUGCCUGUAUUUCCUUAGACCUUUCGAGCAAUACAUGUCAUUCAGAAGAAAAACAUAUUUUCUUGCCCUCAUUAGCGCCUCACCACUAGAACGGCAGUGCAAAUAUCCAACACAUGGGCUAGUCCACCAUCCAGAUCAGAGUUGGAAAAAUAAUCAAGCCCGUCAAAUGGUUCGUUUGGCACUGUUGAUCUACACAGAUGUGGAUUAAAAUGUCAGGAAGACGAGAGAAGGAGCAUAAUAGAAUCUAUUCUGGAUGUUCGGAACUGUUCCACUCUGCCCUGCUGUUUUCCUGCAGUCGACCAGCCACACAGACACCCUCUUCAGAUCCAGCAGUAAGGCGAUACCAGGAGAGUUGUGACCAGGGGACUCCGGCAGGGUGGAGGGGGACGGACUAGCUCUGUCCUGGUGACCACAGGAAGAAUUGUACAUAGAAUAUCAUUAGACCAAACAUUUGAUUACUUUAGUCUAAAUCUCUGAUUGAUUGGGUGCAUCCUUAUAACUCCAUUCUCCUGAAGUGUGUAAUCGUUCACUACUUUACACAAAUGUCUAGUAUUUUUUUUAAAUCACUUUGGCAAAUUUUUCAAAUGGAACUUCUUAUGUUAAGAGCCUUUGAUUGAGCAUUCAUUGGCGUUGAAACAAUUAGCCGCUCAAUUUAGUUCAUAUGUGUUAGGAGAGCUUAAGAGUUUAUGGAAAGAGGAGCUCCACCAUCUCAAGAUACAGGCCGAAUGUCCCCUCCCCUUCCAAAAUGUGAAAGAUUGUAACACCUGUUAAAUCACUAUGCAUCAUAGGUAUAUUUCACUGGUCAUCCCCAAAGCCAACACCUCCUUUGGCUGCCUUUCCUUCCAGUUCUCUGCUGCCAAUGACUGGAACAAAUUGCAAAAAUCACUGAAGUUGGAGACUUACAUUUACCUCACUAACUAGUCAGCUGUCAGAGAAGCUUACCGAUCGCUGCAGCUCUACACAGCCCAUCUGUAAAUAGCCCAUCCAACUAACUACCUACCUCAUCCCCAUAUUUGUUUUUAUUUUUCUGCUCUUUUGCACACCAGUAUUUCUACUCUGCACAUAUCACUCCAGUAUAAAUUGCUAAAUUCUAAUUACUUCACCACUAUUGGCCUAUUUAUUGCCUUACCUCCUUACUUCAAUUGCACAUACUGUGUACAGAUUUUUCUAUUGUGUUAUUGACUUUGUUUAUCCCAUGUGUAACUGUGUUGUUGUUGUCACACUGCUUUGCUUGAUCUUCCAACAUAAAUUAAAAGAAUGUCAAUUUAUACAGUUCUCAAACUGUACUUAAACUUGACACUAUACAAUUUGUUGAGUAGUUAAGUUUUGAGCAAUUUGAUUAAAUUAUAGUUAAAUAUAUUGUUUACAAAUUACUGGAAAAUAUUUUUUCAUGUAAUUAAUUGUAAAUGACCUUUGGAAACAUGUGUUUAGAACUGUGAAAAUGUACCACAUACUUAAAAAAUGCAACAAAGUGAUAAAAAAAAAAAAAACUUAACGGCAUUGGAUUGGUGGAAGCAUGGGCUCGUGGGUGUUCACACCAUAUGUUUUAUACAAAUCAUUUCCUUUCAAAAUCAGGGAAGUGAGCAAGUGACGACGUUGGAAGGAAAGAUAAUUAGGAAUUCCUUAACAUGGUAUCUAGCCUACCAAAAAACAUGAUGUAACACAAUAAAACAUGAUGUAACAC